rnacentral:rRNA from 1 species
UAGGGAAUCUUCGGCAAUGGGGGGAACCCUGACCGAGCAACGCCGCGUGAGUGAAGAAGGUUUACGGAUCGUAAAGCUCUGUUGUUAAGGAAGAACGAGUGUGAGAAUGGAAAGUUCAUACUGUGACGGUACUUAACCAGAAAGGGACGGCUAACUACGUGCCAGCAGCCGCGGUAAUACGUAGGUCCCGAGCGUUGUCCGGAUUUAUUGGGCGUAAAGCGAGCGCAGGCGGUUAGAUAAGUCUGAAGUUAAAGGCAGUGGCUCAACCAUUGUAGGCUUUGGAAACUGUUUAACUUGAGUGCAGAAGGGGAGAGUGGAAUUCCAUGUGUAGCGGUGAAAUGCGUAGAUAUAUGGAGGAACACCAGUGGCGAAGGCGACUCUCUGGUCUGUAACUGACGCUGAGGCUCGAAAGCGUGGGUAGCAAACAGG